rnacentral:tRNA from 1 species
GCCCUUGUAGCUUAGUGGUAGAGCGUCAGUCUUGUAAACUGAAGGUUUGUACUUCGAUCCUGCAUAAAGCUU